rnacentral:rRNA from 1 species
UUGGAGGGCAAGUCUGGUGCCAGCAGCCGCGGUAAUUCCAGCUCCAAUAGCGUAUAUUAAAGUUGUUGCAGUUAAAAAGCUCGUAGUUGAAUUUCGAGACCGGUCUACUGGUCGUGCUUUUGUACGUACUGGUAUAAUCGGUUUCUCUCUUCUGACGAACUAUAAUGCCAUUAAUUUGGUGUUUUAGGGAAUCAGGACUGUUACUUUGAAAAAAUUAGAGUGUUUAAAGCAGGCUCACGCUUGAAUACAUUAGCAUGGAAUAACGAAAUAGGACGUUUGAUUCUAUUUUGUUGGUUUCUAGGAUCGACGUAAUGAUUAAUAGGGAUAGUUGGGGGCAUUAGUAUUCAAUUGUCAGAGGUGAAAUUCUUGGAUUUAUUGAAGACUAACUACUGCGAAAGCAUUUGCCAAGGAUGUUUUCAUUAAUCAAGAACGAAAGUUAGGGGAUCGAAGACGAUCAGAUACCGUCGUAGUCUUAACCAUAAACUAUGCCGACUAGGGAUCAGAUGAUGUUAAAUUAAUGACUCAUUCGGCACCUUACGGGAAACCAAAGUGUUUGGGUUC